rnacentral:rRNA from 1 species
UAGGUAGGUGGUCUCAUUUGUCUGGGGUGAAAGCCUUGAGCUUAACUCAAGAGGUGCCCCAGAGACGGUGAGACUGGAGUCCUGGAGAGGGUCGUGGAAUUCCCGGUGUAGCGGUGAAAUGCGUAGAGAUCGGGAGGAACACCAGAGGCGAAGGCGGCGACCUGGACAGGUACUGACACUCAACUACGAAAGCGUGGGGAGCAAACA